rnacentral:misc_RNA from 1 species
GAAAUGCGAUAAGUAGUGUGAAUUGCAGAAUUCAGUGAAUCAUCGAAUCUUUGAACGCACAUUGCGCCCCUUGGUAUUCCAUGGGGCAUGCCUGUUCGAGCGUCAUUUGUACCUUCAAGCUUUGCUUGGUGUUGGGUGUUUGUCUCGCCUCUGCGUGUAGACUCGCCUCAAAACAAUUGGCAGCCGGCGUAUUGAUUUCGGAGCGCAGUACAUCUCGCGCUUUGCACUCAUAACGACGACGACCAAAAGUACAUUUUUACACUCUUGACCUCGGAUCAGGUAGGGAUACCCGCUGAACUUAAGC